rnacentral:rRNA from 1 species
GCCAGACUCCUACGGGAGGUAGCAGUGGGGAAUAUUGGGCAAUGGGCGCAAGCCUGACCCAGCAACGCCGCGUGAAGGAAGAAGGCUUUCGGGUUGUAAACUUCUUUUCUCAGGGACGAAGCAAGUGACGGUACCUGAGGAAUAAGCCACGGCUAACUACGUGCCAGCAGCCGCGGUAAUACGUAGGUGGUAAGCGUUAUCCGGAUUUACUGGGUGUAAAGGGCGUGUAGGCGGGAAAGCAAGUCAGAUGUGAAAACCACGGGCUCAACCUGUGGCCUGCAUUUGAAACUGUUUUUCUUGAGUACUGGAGAGGCAGACGGAAUUCCUCGUGUAGCGGUGAAAUGCGUAGAUAUUAGGAGGAACACCAGUGGCGAAGGCGGUCUGCUGGACAGCAACUGACGGUGAGGCGCGAAAGCGUGGGGAGCAAACAGGAUUAGAUACCCGCGUAC